CUGGACUGGAGGAGCCACACUGGAGACUGGACACUCUCAGGUCCUUUUCUCAGACAGUGAAAGAAUCCUGGAGACAGUUGACACAGUUGAGUUUCAGCCUGUUUCUCUGUCACACUGACAAACUGAGGAACACUGCUUCAUGUUGAACAGCAGUUAGGACUCAUGUUGGAUAGAAAAUCACUCUGACUGUGUUUCUUCCUCCAGGGUGGACCAUGGUGGAGAGCAGAGGUUAAAACCUGAUGUGAGGAAGUAUCUCUGUGAACUCACACUGGACACAAACACAGCACACAGAAACCUCAAACUGUCUGACAACAACAGGAAGGUGACACGGGUGAGAGAGGAGCAGCCAUAUC